CCAAGAACAUCUUUCCCUGGCCAUGGGUCCAGUGAUGAUGAGCUUAGCCACUACUCCGGCAACUGUCAACUGGCAACAACGACCUUGCAAAAGAAGAGCAAGCUAAUGGACACAGAGCAGUGGCAAAGUGGCAGCAGCUGGUGCCUCCAUACAUUGUGCAGCAGCAAUGAGCAACGGUUGGUCCUCGGUCGGUCGGGUCGUGCGUGCGUGCCUGUCACGCUUGUUCACACCACGCCGUGUCCUGCAAGUCCAGCAGAGGUUGAAAAAGUGAAGGGUUGCCUUCACAGAAACCAGAGGGGGGAGUUCGGUUGGAUUAGGUCCCAAGCCACUUUGGUCUUUAGCAUUGCAUGAUUUGAGAGCUCAAAGGGGUCCCGUGUCGGUCAUUUCUUUUGCAGCAACGAGUGCUUCCAGAAGUCCACACUGACGCAUAACGCUGAUGGACUCCCAACUUCUGCGAAGCGCCAUGGCAGAAGCUCCAAAUGGAGGUGGAUACAUACAGGUGGCUCUGCUCGUUGGAACUCUGCAGCUCUCUGGAACUCAUUGCCUCCUGCGUCGAACCCUGCAUAAGAAUCAACAAGCCAGUUAAGGCAUUACUACUGAUAUCUGUUUGUAUACUUUAGUGAUCUGCUGAAUGUUUAAUGGCACAAGCGAUUCAUUGGCAAUUUUCAGUUUCCGAAAUGCUGUCCUUGUCCAAUAAGCCAGAAGAAAAGGUACGGCAUCCAGGCCUAACUAUUCUCACCUAACUCUUGUCACAUGACGACAGUAUGAACUAAGACAACUUUCUGCAGUCAGUCUUUCACAACGGCAUAAUCAGCAAGCUCCCAAUCGUGAAUGCCAAAAUCACAAUCAUGUACAGGUUGUAGACAAGAUGUCCUUGCUGGAAUACUGUAGUACCUCUUGCUAUCACAUUGUCAAAUCUUGACAGUUUCUUCAGUUCGUCCAUGAAUUCAACUUCUGCCAAACCUAUAUUCUUCUUUUACUUCUUGUUUUGGUGCAAAGUUGCCUUGUAUGUCAUAUUCAUGCUGCAGUAUGCACCUGCACAAGCAAUAUAAACAGUUUAAUCGAAACCAAAAGGGACACAUUUGGCUUUUGUCAAAAAUAUUACUUACCACUUCAUGGUAGUACGGCAGGCCCCCAAGCAAUAUGAUCAAAACCAGAUAAUGCACGAUGGAAAUUUAAUAAGAUGGAAUUCAAUAC
rnacentral:lncRNA from 1 species